CUUAAUGAGAAAAGUUGAAGGUGCACGUGUGGAGUUCAGGAAGGAGAAGGAGCCUUUUCUGGUACUUCUGUCGUGCAGAAAAUUACUCUGAUUGCUGAGUUUACAGCAGAAUCACAGCUCAACUCUCUGUGAAAGCCUGCAGUUCCUUUCCCUGAUUCUCGACUGGGAGUCUCUGAUGGUCAUUUCUUUGACGGUGCGAGAGGUGCGUACCAUGAAUUAUAUCCAGUUGAUCAGUGACUGCUUGCUGUAGUAAUCUAGAAUGAAAACUCACCUGCAAACCUGUCCCUGGGCCACACUUCAGCUUCUCCUUGGGGUUCAGCAUUGCAGGAGGAUGAACGGAAAGACCGAGCCAUGCAGAGAUCGGGGCCCCACUGCUCAGAGCUUUGAAGGGGUUUCAACAAAUUAGUGGCAUUGAGAGAAAAUUCUUUUAAAUCAUUUCCUCCCUUUUUCUUCUUGGCUCCGUGAAUUUUUCCAGAAGGCAAUGGCCAGAACUUUAUGGAAACCAAAUGAUAUGUUACAUGAGCGAAAUGAAAGAUAAUUGAUUCAGAAUAUGAAUUCUUGUCCUCUCUAUAGUUUGGUACAGGAGACUUUCCUCCUUCAUCUUUGGAAUCCCAAGGAGGGGUUGUUUAUUUAGGCUGAUAUUAAUUUGUCAGAUGGUUAGCCUCAGAAAUAGUUCUUAUAAUAGCAAGGAGGCGUCCUGAGAGUGACAAGCAGAUUGUGAGGGAAGCAGGAUUGGGAACCUGUGCUGACAAUAGAGAUUGGCAGGCUCCUCCCUGUAGACCGCUUUUUCCAGCACCAAGACAGUACAAGGUGUGCCGCAGAAGUUCACUCCAUUCAGUUGGACUGACUGUCGGCAUUGAGUGGCACGUCUUAUCUGCGAUAGUUGUGUGUUCUUAUUUCCACUCCUCACCUGUCUAACAGUGAGGGUCUCUUGGUCUUAUUGCUGACACCAGGAAGCUGUUAGAAUGAAGGUUGAGGCACUCAGGAAGUUUCCAAACCCAUCAUCAUCUUUUCCUCCGGGGUCUCUGCAACUACCCGGAGCCUCUGGGGACAUAGUGGAGAAAUGGGAGUUGAGUCCAGCCUGGGAACCCACAUUGGGUUGAAAGAGUUCUCCCAAAGGGUUCAUAUUGAGUAGUUGGGCCCUACCCAAAAGGACCCUCCAGAGGGCAUACAGGGUUCAAGCUGCAGUCCUUGCCUUCACUUUCCUCAAGAUUUCAACUGAUGGUUCAGAGGACACUAACGGCCUCUGUAGACUAGUGUUGUGCAAUUUACUGUGUAAAGGGCCACAUAGUAAAUAGUCUAGGUUUCCACAGGGUGUGUGGUCUCUGUUGCUCAACUACUCAAUUCUGUUGCUUAGCUCAGAGGGAGCCAUAGAUAAUAUGUAACCACAGGA